AUUUCACAGUCACACUAUUUUUUGUCGAGAUUCGCGAGCUAAACAAGCUGAAGUAAAUAGGUUUUUUUUAAUAAUUAUUAAGUUUGCACGCAUUUGCAACUUGUACAAUACAAAUAGCAACUAAAAUGGCACUUAAUCCACAAUACGAGGACAUUGGCAAGGGUUUUGUUCAGCAAUAUUAUGCCAUUUUCGAUGACCCGGCGAAUCGCGCUAACGUGGUCAACUUUUACAGCGCAACAGACUCCUUCAUGACCUUUGAGGGACACCAAAUACAGGGCGCACCCAAAAUUCUUGAAAAAGUUCAGAGCUUGAGUUUUCAAAAGAUUUCUCGUGUCAUCACCACAGUGGACUCGCAGCCCACAUUCGAUGGAGGUGUUCUAAUCAAUGUUCUUGGACGUCUACAGACCGAUGAGGAUCAACCGCAUGCGUAUAUACAGACAUUUGUGCUCAAGCCUGUGGGCGUUAGCUUCUUUGUGCAACAUGAUAUCUUUAGACUGGCGCUGCACGAUGUGUAGCACGCACUCGAGACGAUGUGCCGCAACAAGCAACAAGUCGUGCCCACAACAACUCAACUUAAGCAAGCGAUAUACUAAAGGCCAGGCCAAUGCGAUGAUGAUCCACCACACGCUUACUCUCAAGUCUUUGUACUAAAAGCCAAUGCUGGAUCCUUUUUUGUAGCUCAUGACAUCUU